GACGAACGCUGGCGGCGUGCUUAACACAUGCAAGUCGAACGGAAAGGCCCUGCUUUCUUGGUGUUCUCGAUUGGCGAACGGGUGCGUAACACGUGAGUAUCCUGCCCUUGACUUUGGGAUAACUUCACGAAACUGGGGCUAAUACCGGAUAGGAGCUCCUGCUGCAUGGUGGGGGUUGGAACGUUUCGGCGGUUGGGGAUGGACUCGCGGCUUAUCAGCUUGUUGGUGGGGUAGUGGCUUACCAAGGCUUUGACGGGUAGCCGGCCUGAGAGGGUGACCGGGCACAUGGGGACUGAGAUACGGCCCAGAGUCCAACGGGAGGCAACAGUGGGGAAUAUUGCACAAUGGGCGGAAGCCUGAGGAAGCAACGCCGCGUGCGGGAUGACGGCCUUCGGGUUAUAAACCGCUUUCGCCUGUGACGAAGCGUGAGUGACGGUAAUGAAUAAAGAAGCACCGGCUAACUACGUG
rnacentral:rRNA from 1 species